rnacentral:lncRNA from 1 species
UGGGCACACCGCAACUUUUAUGAGCAUCUUGUUAUAUAGCUCUUCGCGAGCUUUCCAAUUAAAGACUCUUUGUGAGCUUCUUGAUUAAUGACUCUCUGGAGCUACGUGAUAUGGCUUGCUUGAACUUCCCGAUAUAUGGCUAUCUGGAGCUUCCCGAUUAAUGGCUCUUCGAAGUUACCCAUUAUUGGCUCGCAUGAGCUUCUUGAUUAUGACUCUUAUGAGCUUCCCG